GCUGUUGCCUAACGGUUCUGCUCAGCUGCCUAACGGUUCUGCUCAGCUGCCUAACGGUUUUGCGCAGCCAUUUUCUCCCUGGAGAGGCUGGAGUGUCCAAAAGCUUGGCCGACUGAGAUUGCUAGUCGUGUCAGGGCGGGUGCGGGACUGAAGAAGGGCGAGGGCGAGCGGCGGGGACUGGGGAAGGGCGAGCAGCGGGAGGCACGGGCUCUCUCUAGCAGGUGGCUGCAGCCAUGGAGAGGCUCUGUGCCGCCGCUGUCAAGGGCCAGACGGGCCCAGAGCGCCCAAGCCCCUUCAGUCAGCUGGUCUACACCAACAACGACUCUUACGUGAUUCACCAUGGGGAUCUCAGGAAGAUCCACAAAGCUGCCUCCCGGGCCAAGCCUGGAAGCUGGAGAGGAUGAUGAAGAAGACGACAAUGGACCUGAACAUAAGAGAUGCGAAGAAGAGGCUGGCCACACACCACUUUUAUUGGCCAUAAGGAAAAGAAGUGAGCAAAUUGUGGAAUUUUUACUGACAAAAAAAUGCAAAUGCAAAUGGAGUUGAUAAGUUUAAAUGCAUUCAUCAACAACUUUUGGAAUAUAAACAAAAGAUAUCUAAAAAUUCUCAAAAUAGUAAUCCAGAAGGAACAUCUGAAGGAACACCUGACGAGGCUGCACCCUUGGCGGAAAGAACACCUGACACGGCUGAAAGCUUGGUGGAAAGAACACCUGACGAAUAGGAUACAGUGAAUUCCUCUUCAAAGAUUUUAGCCUGUAAACAUCCUUUAAAAUUCAAGAGGGGGGAAGAUUAAGUACAAUGAGUUCUGAGUUCCUCAUCAAAGAACAAAUAUGUCAGUAUGUUCAGCUUCUCCGUUCUUUGUUCUCCGUUUUAAAGUUUAACUUCCUCGUUCGUUAUGCCUCCUUGCCCCUAGUUUCAUUAAACAACCCCCUUCUAGCCUCUAACACCUGCUUUGUCUUUAGUCAUUCUUAGUAACCUGCUCUGUCCUUAGUCAUCCUUAGACACCUGCUCUGUAACUGUCUUUCCCGCUGAAACUACUCACCCUGCCACUCCAGCUCAUACCCCUGCCCUCUUUGAAAUAGCCAAUCUGAAUUGGCUUAGAGUGUGCAGUCCAACCCUAUCCAAUAGGGAAAAGACACAACAGUAGGGACUAGCUGCGUUAGAAAUAAGAACACUUUCCCCUCCCUUGUCCGGUGUGAUCUUGCCUUUGCUCCAUCUGCAAGACCACUCUUCCAUAGAAGUAAAUUUGCCUUGCUGUAAAAACUUGUUGCUGGAGUGCUGACGGUUCUUUGUGGCACCGAAAAUUAUUUUCCAAAAAUUU
rnacentral:lncRNA from 1 species